rnacentral:rRNA from 1 species
AACGAACGCUGGCGGCGUGCCUAAUACAUGCAAGUCGAACGCAUUUUCUUUCACCGUAGCUUGCUACACCGAAAGAAAAUGAGUGGCGAACGGGUGAGUAACACGUGAAGAACCUGCCCCAGACUCUGGAAUAACACCCCGAAAGGGGUGCUAAUACCGGAUACCUUCCCGAGGUCGCAUGGCCAUGGGAAGAAAGAUUCAUCGGUUUGGGAGGGCUUCGCGGCCUAUCAGCUUGUUGGCGGGGUAAUGGCCCACCAAGGCGUCGACGGGUAGCUGGUCUGAGAGGAUGAUCAGCCACACUGGGACUGAGACACGGCCCAGACUCCUACGGGAGGCAGCAGUGGGGAAUCUUGCUCAAUGGGCGAAAGCCUGAAGCAGCAACGCCGCGUGCGGGAUGAAGGCCCUCGGGUUGUAAACCGCUUUCAGCAGGAACGAAUCUGACGGUACCUGCAGAAGAAGGUCCGGCCAACUACGUGCCAGCCGCCGCAGUAACAC